UUCUACCCUUCGUGCAUGUCCAACGUGGGGAUGGUGAAAGGUUACGAGGCCACGGAAAUGGAGAACCGAACGUGGAAACUGUUCCCGCCUACUCUACAACCAUACUGGUGCAGGAUGAUUAGAAAGAGAAUAAAAAGAGAAAGACAAAAAGAGAGAGAAUUCUACUAAUGUCAGAGACGAAGGUGGGAUCUCUGUAUCGGGAACAAUCGAGUGAACGUUGAGGAAGAUUAGGAACUGGACGGGGAACGGAAACAUUGGAACGUUGGAGAAUGCAAGAGGAUGUAGGCUCUAUUGUCGAA